GCCAGCAGCCAUAUCACUCUGCAACUCACAACUGGCAACCCACUGAAGCUCAGCAGGUGUGAGCCUGGUCAGUACCUGGACGGGAGACCUUCUGGAAAAAACUAAGGUUGCUGCUGGAA
rnacentral:rRNA from 1 species